rnacentral:rRNA from 1 species
AUUGAACGCUGGCGGCAGGCCUAACACAUGCAAGUCGAACGAGUGGCGGACGGGUGAGUAAUGUCUGGGAAACUGCCCGAUGGAGGGGGAUAACUACUGGAAACGGUAGCUAAUACCGCGUACCAUCGGAUGUGCCCCGAUGGGAUUAGCUUGUAGGUGAGGUAACGGCUCACCUAGGCGACGAUCCCUAGCUGGUCUGAGAGGAUGACCAGCGAAAUGGGAACUGAGACACGGGCAAGACUCGGACGGGAGGCAGCAGUGGGGAAUAUGGCACAAGGUGGGGAAUUCUGAUGCAGCCAUGCCGCGUGGAUGAAGAAGGCCUUCGUGUUGUAAAGUACUGUCAGCGGGGAGGCGUUACCCGCAGAAGAAGCACCGGCUAACUCCGUGCCAGCCGCCGCGGUAAUAC